UACGACCCUGCCCGAUCUGCGGUUUUCUACUUCGCGACACGAGUCCCCAUCCGAUUUGUCUCACGCACGCGCUCUCUGCUUAAUUAAAAAUCAUUUCACGACUCUGCCCGAUUUGUUCUGCGCAUGUCUAAUGUUUUACGACACACGUCAUUCGUCAGGUUUGAAUUGUACUUGCGAGUCAUUUUUUGUGUUGACGUUUAUCUUCGUCUGUAAGUGAACUUCUUACUGGAAAAGAUGAUAACUUUUGAAUUUUAUAACGUCUUGGAAGAAUAUAUGUCGCCUGAAAAUUUUAACUCCAUUCGACUGAAGAGGGAGCGAAAUGAAAUGCGACGUAUGUCUGUGAACUUUAUAAUGGAUACGUAUAGCUUUUUGAUGCCCAGUGGUAACCAGCCUUCCAUUGGCUGAACAGAUGGCAGUGUAUCCGAAUUCUGAGACACAACUGGAUGUCCUUUUCUUCUGCUUUUAAGAUUCCCAGUUCGAGAUGAUAGCGUCAAGAGUGUGAAUCCUCACAAACACAGAGACUGAAGAGCAUCAGUCCCAGCAGUCACUAUACAGCGAUGUUGCUCUGUUUUGCAAAAUAACAUUUAUUUUCUUAAGUUAC